GGGGCUUCAGUAGGACCUGCCUUUCAGUAACUUUCAGAGGCAUGGGGAGCCCUUCCCUGAAAGAGGGGAGAAGGUGACAUCUUAGAAACUGUGAUAAAAUGAUCUCAGGACCCAAAAAGAAAAUGGACAAGCCUGGCAAUGAGAGUUUGCAAUGUGAUGCAAUCACAGGCAAUACCAGGGUGGAAAUUGGAUGGGCAGCUUUCUUCUCUCUAGAAGAUUUUCUUUCCAAGUCCAUUCUUUCUUUUCAUAUUUUCAUAUUUGGAAACUGAGGUUUAUGGGUUCUAAGUCUUCCAGCAAUUUCAAGUGAAGGUUUCCGAGUUCUAAGGUGAGUGUUAACCUUGGAAUCCAUAGAUUCAGAGGCAGGGAGUAUGGGGACCAGUUAAAGAAGGAAUGGAUUAGAGAAAGCAACUUGGUGAGAUAACACCUCCUAUCACAACACCAGAAACUUUGAACACAUCAGUGUCAGACCUGCAGCUUUGUUCGUAAUUGUCAAAACUUGGAAGCAACCAUGAUGCCGAUAUCCUUCAGCAAGUGAACAAAUAAAUUAACUGUGGUACGUCCUGACAAUGGAAUAUUAUUCAGCACUAAAAAGAAAUGUGCUAUCAAGCCAUGAAAAGCCAUGGAGGAAACUUAAAUGCAUAUUACUAAGUGAUAGAAGCCAAUCUGAAGAGGUUACAUACUCUGUAUUCCAAGUAUAUGACAUCUGGAAAUGACAAAACUAUGGACACCAUAAAAAGAUCAGUGGUUACCAGGGGUUGGGGAUUGGGGGAUGGAUACCUGGAGCACAGAGGAUUUUUAAGGCAGUGAAACUAGUCUGUAUGACACUAUAAAAAUGGAUACAUGUCAUUAUACAUUUGUCAAAAUUCAUAGGAUGUACAACAGCAAUAGCAAACUCUAAUGUAACCUGUGGACUUUGAGUGAUUAUGAUGUGUCAACAUAGGUUCAUCGGCUAUUAACAAAUGGACCCCUCUGAUGGAGCUAUAAAUAUGUGACAACUUGAAUUCUGCUUAAUGGACUUUCUUUCUUUCUUAUUUCCUUUCUUUCUUUCUUUCUUUUUUUCUUUUUUUUCUUUUUGGUUUGUUUCUUGCAUCUUAUGUUAUCUCUAUGGUAAGUUUAGCUAAAUGAAAAAUUCCCAGGAUUGUAAACUGAUUGAUUAGAAAUUAUUUGAUUUUUCUUUAUUUCAUUUUAUAUUACUUUUUAAGACCCAGUCAAGGAACAUUUCCAUAUUAUGUGCGUGUAUCCAUAGAAUUAUAUCAUGGCUGCAUAUGCAGUUUUAGCCUAUGCUAUAAAAUGCCUGCUUUUUAAAAAAAGACGUUAUUUUCUUAGAACAGUUUUAGGUUCACAGCAAAAUUGAAAGGAAGUUACAGAGAUGUCCCGUAUACCCCUUGCCCCCACCGCACAUUUGAAAUAUCUUUUCAAAUCUUUUCCUCAUUUAUUAAAUAGCUUGUUUUUCUCAUUAUUGAGUUGUGAUAUAUCUUUAUGUAUUCUGAAUAAAGUCCUUUGUCAGAUCUACAUAUUACGAAUAA